ACGCUCGACACCUACGGGAGGCGGCAGUGGGGAAUAUUGCACAAUGGGGGAAACCCGUGAUGCAGCGACGCCGCGUGAGCGAAGAAGUAUUUCGGUAUGUAAAGCUCUAUCAGCAGGGAAGAAACUGACGGUACCUGACUAAGAAGCACUGGCUAAAUACGUGCCAGCAGCCGAGGUAAUCUGAGCGGGCUGGCAAGGC
rnacentral:rRNA from 1 species